GCUAAUGUCUUGGAAGCCAGCUGCUGGAUCUAGCUCUGCGAGGGAUGGAUCUUCAGAAGAUCAGCAAGUGUUAUCAAUCCCCUUAAAGGGAAGGGCUGCUAAUUCAACCUUUCACACUCCUGUGAGUCAUCGAGCAAAUAGUCCAGCAGAUGGAUCUGAGGUUCCUUCAGUUUUCCAUGCAAAGUUUAUUUUUCAAUAAGUGRGCACUAGAGGACAACAGAAAGUCGAUGUUGAAUUUGCCCCUUCUUUGUACAAAACUGCCACAGAGAACAUCUUGCAGAAUGUGGGUGCUCCUGGUUUUUUUCCAUGAAAGUUCGUGAGGGUACCUUGAGACUAAAUCCAGAUGCCUGGAUCAGAUAYGUGGAUUAUGGAAAACAGAAGAUACCUAAGUGCCCAGCAGGAUGAUGACAAAAUAUGCUCUAAAGAUGACAUUCACUGCACAUUUUCAAACAGCUGCAGUUUUACAUCAAAAUUCUUGAUGUCUCUGCACAUUUUAGUUCAACAGUUUGAUAAUACAUAGCAGAAAUAUUAUCAUUUAGGGCUGCAGACAGAGGGAUCACAAAAGAGGAAAGCAGAGACAUGAGGCUGGAUGCUCGUGGAGAGCUUCGUCUGAUCUUGAGCAGUGCUGCAGGAAAAUGCUCCCCUGGGCAUGGUCCUGGGAGCUGAGCUGGUGUUGCCGGGUUUGGGGAGCUGGGUUUGCACCCAAGUGGGGGAAGAGGCUGAAGUCAGAUGAGACACCCCCAGGAGAGGGGGGCAGCACUAGCCAGGGUCACACCCUCCCUGGGGUGGCUCUGGAAGACACAGAAAGGAAUGUGAAUUCGUUCUGUGGCUGCAAGGUUUGAAAGACCUUCACAGAGGAAUCACCUGUAUAAAGAAAAUAUGAAGUGUGCUUGUUUCAGGGGGAAAGGAAAGUGUUGUGUGUGUCAUGGCUACUCCUCAUUAAACUGUUUGUAAACAAGUCAUUUGUUCAAYUUGCCUUGGAGUGUCUGUGUUACAGGAUAAAAUGUUUCUGGUGAACCAGCACCACGAUCAUAAAGAGCCAUGUGAUGAUGAUUUGCAGCAUAGGGCUGAUCAUAGGCAAUUUACUACAAGGUGAAAUAAUACUAUUUAUUUCUUUCCUCAGUCAUCAGAAGAUCUGCUUCAGGGAACUGGAGCAUUGUCAGCAGAGAGCUUGACCAGUCAGAGUAAUUAAAAGCAGUUCAAAGAUAUCCUGACAGAGAAAAAACAUUCUUGGGUAAUAAUAAUGUGGGGUGUUCAUGAGUUUUUUUGGGCAAACUAGCAAAGGAAAAUUACUGGGUAAUUUAGCUAGAUAGCUUCUUGGAGUGACUG